rnacentral:rRNA from 1 species
UACGUAGGGUGCAAGCGUUGUCCGGAAUUAUUGGGCGUAAAGAGCUCGUAGGCGGUUUGUUGCGUCGGCUGUGAAAUCCCGAGGCUCAACCUCGGGUCUGCAGUCGAUACGAGCAAACUAGAGUGUUGCAGGGGAGACUGGAAUUCCUGGUGUAGCGGUGAAAUGCGCAGAUAUCAGGAGGAACACCGGUGGCGAAGGCGGUUCUCUGGGC